UGCCAGCCGCCGCGGUAAUACGAAGGUGGCGAGCGUUGUUCGGAUUCACUGGGCAUAAAGGGCGUGUAGGCGGCCUGGUAAGCGGAAGGUGAAAGCCCGGGGCUCAACCCCGGAACUGCGUUCCGAACUGCCAGGCUAGAGGACAGGAGGGGGAUCUGGAACUCUAGGUGGAGCGGUGAAAUGCGUAGAUAUCUAGAGGAACGCCGGUGGCGAAAGCGAGAUCCUGGCCUGUCCCUGACGCUGAGGCGCGAAAGCGUGGGUAGCAAACAGGAUUAGAUA
rnacentral:rRNA from 1 species